UGUUAGCUAGUUUAACUAAAAACAACUGAUUUCGACUCAGUAGACUAUGAUUAAACUCAUAGCUACCAC
rnacentral:tRNA from 1 species